GGUUCCGUAGCUCAGCUGGAUAGAGCAACAGCCUUCUAAGCUGUGGGUCUCGGGUUCGAAUCCCGACGGAAUCACCA
rnacentral:tRNA from 1 species